rnacentral:rRNA from 1 species
CCAGACUCCUACGGGAGGCAGCAGUGAGGAAUAUUGGUCAAUGGGCGAGAGCCUGAACCAGCCAAGUCGCGUGAGGGAAGACGGUCCUAUGGAUUGUAAACCUCUUUUGCCGGGGAGCAAAAAGCGGUACGUGUACCGCAUCGAGAGUACCCGGAGAAAAAGCAUCGGCUAACUCCGUGCCAGCAGCCGCGGUAAUACGGGGGAUGCGAGCGUUAUCCGGAUUUAUUGGGUUUAAAGGGUGCGUAGGCGGCGCUUCAGGUCAGCGGUGAAAUACCGGGGCUCAACCCCGGGGCUGCCGUUGAAACCGGAGCGCUAGAAUUCCGAUGCCGUCGGAGGAAUGUGUGGUGUAGCGGUGAAAUACAUAGAUAUCACGCAGAACUCCGAUUGCGAAGGCAGCAUACCGGCGCCCAACUGACGCUGAAGCACGAAAGCGUGGGUAUCGAACAGGAUUAGAUACCCUAGUAUG